rnacentral:rRNA from 1 species
UACAGAGACUGCAAGCGUUAUUCGGAUUCACUGGGCGUAAAGGGUGCGCAGGCGGCCAAGUGUGUCAGGUGUGAAAUCCCGAGCUUAACCUCGGAACUGCGCCUGAAACUACUUGGCUAGAGUACUGGAGAGGGUAACGGAAUUCACGGUGUAGCAGUGAAAUGCGUAGAUAUCGUGAGGAACACCAGAGGCGAAGGCGGGUCUCUGGGCCGAUAUUGACGCUGAGGAGCGAAAGCGUGGGGAGCGAACAGG